UACGUAGGGGGCAAGCGUUGUCCGGAUUUAUUGGGCGUAAAGAGCGUGUAGGCGGCUUUGCAAGUCCGUGGUGAAAACUCGAGGCUCAACCUCGAGACGCCGGUGGAAACUGCAAAGCUAGAGUCCAGAAGAGGAGAGUGGAAUUCCUGGUGUAGCGGUGAAAUGCGCAGAUAUCAGGAAGAACACCCGUGGCGAAGGCGGCUCUCUGGGACGGUACUGACGCUGAGACGCGAAAGCGUGGGGAGCGAACAGG
rnacentral:rRNA from 1 species